rnacentral:rRNA from 1 species
GAGGCAGCAGUGGGGAAUUUUGGACAAUGGGCGCAAGCCUGAUCCAGCAAUGCCGCGUGCAGGAUGAAGGCCUUCGGGUUGUAAAGCUGCUUUUGUACGGAGCGAAAAGGCUCUCUCUAAUACAGGGGGCUCAUGACGGUACCGUAAGAAUAAGCACCGGCUAACUACGUGCCAGCAGCCGCGGUAAUACGUAGGGUGCAAGCGUUAAUCGGAAUUACUGGGCGUAAAGCGUGCGCAGGCGGUCUUGUAAGACAGGUGUGAAAUCCCCGGGCUUAACCUGGGAACUGCACUUGUGACUGCAAGGCUGGAGUACGGCAGAGGGGGAUGGAAUUCCGCGUGUAGCAGUGAAAUGCGUAGAUAUGCGGAGGAACACCGA